AUUGAACGCUGGCGGCGUGCUUAACACAUGCAAGUCGAGCGGUAACAGGCGUAGCAAUACGUGCUGACGAGCGGCGAACGGGUGAGUAAUGCUUCGGAAUCUUCCUCGUAGUGGGGAAUAACCUGGGGAAACUCAGGCUAAUACCGCAUACGAACUACGGUUGAAAGCAGGGGAUCGCAAGACCUUGCGCUAUGAGAUGAGCCGAAGUCGGAUUAGCUAGUUGGUGGGGUAAUGGCCUACCAAGGCGACGAUCCGUAGCUGGUCUGAGAGGACGACCAGCCACACUGGGACUGAGACACGGCCCAGACUCCUACGGGAGGCAGCAGUGGGGAAUAUUGGACAAUGGGGGCAACCCUGAUCCAGCGACGCCGCGUGUGUGAAGAAGGCCUGCGGGUUGUAAAGCACUUUUAGUGUGGAUGAAAAGCCAAGGGCUAAUACCCUUUGGUCUUGACCUAACCCAAAGAAAAAGCACCGGCUAACUCUGUGCCAGCCGCCGCAGUAAAAC
rnacentral:rRNA from 1 species